CCUACGGGGAGCUGCAGUCGAGAAUCAUUCACAAUGGGGGAAACCCUGAUGGUGCGACGCCGCGUGGGGGAAUGAAGGUCUUCGGAUUGUAAACCCCUGUCAUGUGGGAGCAAAUUAAAAAGAUAGUACCACAAGAGGAAGAGACGGCUAACUCUGUGCCAGCAGCCGCGGUAAUACAGAGGUCUCAAGCGUUGUUCGGAAUCACUGGGCGGAAAGCGUGCGUAGGCUGUUUCGUAAGUCGUGUGUGAAAGGCGCGGGCUCAACCCGCGGACGGCACAUGAUACUGCGAGACUAGAGUAAUGGAGGGGGAACCGGAAUGCUCGGUGUAGCAGUGAAAUGCGUAGAUAUCGAGAGGAACACUCGUGGCGAAGGCGGGUUCCUGGACAUUAACUGACGCUGAGGCACGAAGGCCAGGGGAGCGAAAGGGAUUAGAUACCCCUGUAGUC
rnacentral:rRNA from 1 species